CCCACCCUCCAACGUCUGCUGCUGCUCCAGAUAAUGUGUCUCUACGUAAAAUCACCUUUAAGAGCACUGGCUGAAAAUGCAAUGCUUGGCUGCUAAACUUGCGGCUUCUUAACAGUAAUAAUCAUUAUUUUUUUAAAGGAUUUUUAAAAAGCAUGUUUUAUUUUGUAGCCCUGGUGUGAUGAAGAGGACAAAAUACUCACAAGGAGCCUAGGAGAUCGUAAAAAAAAAUGCGCAUUUGCAGCGUCUUACUUUGAAUAGCGGUGUGGAAGAACUGUGGUUGCCGUAUGUGGGCUCUAUGUGCUUCGGUGUUCUUGACCCGGUUUGUUGGUCAGUCGGGGAAAGUCAGACAGCCACUGGAAAACUACAGUGCUUGUGCUCCACCAGAACGUGUACUGUAUAAGCACACGUUUACGGGUUCAAGGGUUUGCUGCUGCAGGAAAGGAGCUGAUAACGAAAACUAAAAUGUUAAAAGUCUUGAAACUACAAUCUACGGUGCCUGUUUAAAAACUAAACCCGAGUUCCUUCAAGAUUUUCAGAGAAGAGGACCUCGUUCAGCAGCGUUUAUAGAGUUCUACGGCAAUUGCAAACUGUUUAUUUUUAGUUUAAUUGGGGAACUGGUGGUGGAAAUAAUUCAAUGAAAUAAAAUAUUCUCCGUUUGCCAGUGGAGAUGCAUGGAUGACUUAGAACAGUAGCAGUCCCAAGAUCCUGAAUCGUAUCUAUCGCUUUUUGAGUACCGAUGCUUACCAUACAAAAUGAGAUAUUAAUUGCAUUAUAAACAUUUAUCAGAAACCAGAAAAUGUGUGCAGCUUCCGAUACAAAAUGCGCGUUCACUUCUGACACUGUGUUGGUACAUUACAAUGACUAAGUCGUUGAAGCGAAUGCGGGGCACACCAUCGUUAUUAUUUUGCUGCUGUGUCGUGUUUAACAUCUUUAAGGAACCUCGCUGAUGAACUUGCACGGAUAGAGUUUCUAUGUUUUAUUUUUUUAUUGCCGGUCCUGUGUUUCGCAAUGCGCGUAUUGUCAUAUCAGGGCGUUUUAUCUUUUCAUGAGGCGGACAGUUUUGCUGUACCUCUCGCUUUUAAAGUGUACGGUUCUUCUGCGGUUGCCUGGCACACCAUGCGUGUUCUGUAGAAGAAGAAUAUUUUACAGCAGGGGAGAAGAGCGAGAGCUGGGCGCUGCACAACAACCCAUAGCUCCUGUUCCGUUUACAGAGCUCACAGCACGACGGCUUGACUAUACAAAAGGGCCAUCACCAUGGAGAGGCUGCUCGUCUGUUUCCUCUUGCUAAACGUGCCUGUGUCAGCCAUGCUGUGUCCCAAGAGAUGCACAUGCCAGAAUCUGCUGCCUUCCUACACCGUCCUCUGUGCAAAGACAGGACUCCUGUUUGUGCCACCCAACAUCGACAGGAGAACAGCAGAGCUUAGACUCAUGGACAACUUCAUCACCACGCUGAGAAAGAAGGACUUUACCAACAUGACCAGCCUCAUUCACUUGAGUCUGUCUCGGAACACCAUCAGCCAAAUCACACCCUUUGCGUUUGUGGAUCUCCAUGAUUUGCAUGCUUUACACCUAGACAGCAAUCGGUUGACCCUGGUCAACGAUGAGCACUUUCAGGGCUUAAUUAACCUUCGCCAUUUGAUCCUCAGCAAUAACCAGCUGCAGUCUAUCGCUGAAGGGUCCUUUGAGGACUUCUUGGAAACUCUAGAGGAUCUGGACCUAUCCUAUAAUAAUCUGAGGGAAAUCCCUUGGGAUACUAUCACUAGACUUGUCAGUGUCAACACCCUCAGCUUGGACCACAACCUCAUUGAGUUCGUCCCUGAAGGGAUCUUUUCCAACCUUCACAAGCUUGCUCGGUUGGAUAUGACCUCCAACAAGCUCAAGAAGAUUCCUCCAGACCCUCUGUUCCUGAGGAUCCCUGUGUAUGCAAAAAUGAAAGGAUCUCCUUUGACCUCCCUGGUCCUCAGCUUUGGUGGCAACCCUUUACACUGUAACUGUGAGUUGGUUUGGCUCAGGAGACUAACAAGAGAGGAUGAUCUCGAGACAUGUGCCUCUCCACGGGAGCUCAUGGGUAAAUACUUCUGGACCAUCAAGGAAGAAGAGUUCAUCUGCGAACCGCCAAUGAUCACAAGGCAUACCUCCAAAAUGUUCGUCAUGGAAGGGCAAGAGGUAAGUCUCAGGUGCAAAGCCAUUGGGGACCCUGAACCGUACAUUCACUGGAUCUCCCCAGAAGGGAAAGUAAUCGCCAACACAUCCCGGACAAUAUCCUACGAGAACGGGAGCUUAGAUAUUCUCACUACCACCAUCAAAGACUCGGGGAUGUUCACCUGCAUCUCCUCUAACGCUGCAGGGGAGUCCACCGCCCCAGUAGAACUCAUUGUUAACCCUUUCCCUCACCUCACUAACCGAACAAGCCACAUGAAGGAAUCAGAGCCGGAGCCCUCGGAUAUCCUGACCUCAGUCAAGUCUGCCAAUGAAACCAGCAGAAAAAAGAACAAGAAAGUGCUGGCUACCGAACUGACGUCCUCGUCCGUCAUGAUCAAAUGGACGCCCCAGAACCACAUACCUGGGAUUCGGAUGUACCAGAUCCAGUACAACAGCUCAUCCGAUGAUAUUUUGAUUUACAGGAUGAUUCCCUUCUCCAGCAAGUCCUUCCUCUUGAGUGACCUGGCCUCCUCGAGGGAGUAUGACCUGUGCGUGCUGGCAGUGUACAACGACGGAAUCACCUCGCUGACGGCCACCAAGCUCCUCGACUGCGUCCACUUUGUGACCGACAAGGAGUACAAGCAGUGCCGCUCCAUCCACGACCAGUUCCUGGGAGGGACCAUGAUCAUCAUCAUCGGGGGGAUCAUAGUGGCCUCGGUGCUGGUUUUCAUCUUCAUCCUGCUCAUGAAAUAUAAGGUCUACAACAACCAAUACAAGCAGAAGCAGGCCAAAGUCAGCAACGUCUGCUCCCAGACCAACGGGAGCCAUGCCGGGACCUCCUCCGGAUCCACCAUGAAGUCGGCAGAGAAAUACGAGGUGCACUGCCAGGAGGGAUACGGGGCCACCGUCAAAGGGACAACCGUAGUGGAUCUGAACCCUGAUUGCAGGAAAACGGCCUCAGAGGAUGAUACCGUAUCACAAUAACACAGGGUGACUUUUUGCACAGAGCUCUCCGACUGCCUUAAGGACUAUCAGGUGUCCAAGGUCAUGAAAAGUACUGUACGCCCAUGGUGUGUGGUGAAAUUGAUGCAACCAAAAGUUAUGUUCCGUGGAUAAACAAGACGUGGAUGCCUUCCUUUGUUUAUUUUCUAACAAAAAAAAAAACAAAACAGAAACAAACAAAAUAAGCUGUUCUCUGGUGGUGCUGAACAAUGAUGAUCACAGUAAGAAGACGAACAUUUCUAUAUAGAGAAGACCUUGGAACGUUAAUGGAACAUGCUGCACACAUUGUGUUUCUGUGUUCACCUUGACAGGUUAACAACACUCUUUUCUGAAAAAUGGAAUACAGUCUAAAACUACCCCCAAGCUAGCAGAUAUUGGAAUACUGCACUGGCACUUGGACUAUCUUUACUGUGGCUUUCACUUUCUGGCUAUAUCCAGGAUGUGUAUAAACCUGGGUGACUUACUGCUCCUUUUCAUUUGCCACUAGGACUGAGUUGAAUACUGGAUUCAGUCCCUCUAAAUCGCUCUGACUUUGUGAGUUUCCAAUGUAAAUGAUGCCAAUGACAAACCUCUGAGAGAAUGAUGUUGGCACGACAGAACACGAUCAAUUGAUUAUACCUUGUGGAAGUGCAGAUAUCUGAUAUAUACAGAAGAUCGAAUUGAAGUUGCAGCCCAGGAGGAUUGGAAGAUUUUAAUAGACCGGUUUCAUGGUGCAAAAUGGAAGCAUGGGAUAUUUUGACAAUAUAAAUUAAACAAAGGAAAAUGUCUGAUUACAAGAACUGUGGAUACAAAAUGGAAAUAGGUGUGAUUUCAAAGGACAAAUACACACAAGGAAAACCUAACAUUCACAAGAUUUCUUUUUAUAAAAGUGGGGACUCAAAAGAUGUAUGUCUACUGUACAGAUUGUUUCACAGUUCCUUUGUCAGACAGUGUUUUUUUGUUUGUUUGUUUGCUUGUUUUGUUUGUUUUAAAUCUUUUUUAAAAGCUAUAGACAACACAACCUACAAAAAAAGUUAAACAUUUUAAAUAAUGAUAUACUUACCGUACAAGUGUUUAUAUGUAAAUUAGUCAUUUAAUCAUUUCUGAUUUGAAAUCCAUAUUUUUCUUUAAAAAAUAAAUUACAUUUUAUGCUUUCAAAGGUACUGUAUAAGAUGCGGGUUUAUAUGACAAAUAAAAGUAUUUUUGUAUAAGUUUUGCACCAAAUCUAUUUCACCAUUUGCUGUAUGAGUGAAAAGUGGUAGUAAUGUUGUAUUUUGGGGUGGAUUCAAAAAUAUAUGGGCCCAUUUAUAACCUGUAUCCUACUAUGUUCUAUGGUUCUAUUUGCAGAAGCUAACUUAUCUAUUGCCACAUUCUUAAUUUUUCUGCCAAAAAAAAAAAUUAAGUACUGUUUUUAAAGAGUUUAUAAAAAUUCCCUUUACACAGUGAAUUAACAAAAAUGAGUAGAAACUAAUAAA